rnacentral:rRNA from 1 species
CGAACGGAUCCUUCGGGAUUAGUGGCAGACGGGUGAGUAACGCGUGGGAAGCUACCUUGUGGUAGGGGACAACAGUUGGAAACGACUGCUAAUACCCUAUGAGCCCUAUGGGGGAAAGAUUUAUCGCCAUGAGAUGUGCCCGCGUUAGAUUAGCUAGUUGGUAAGGUAAUGGCUUACCAAGGCGACGAUCUAUAGCUGGUCUGAGAGGAUGAUCAGCCACACUGGGACUGAGACACGGCCCAGACUCCUACGGGAGGCAGCAGUGGGGAAUAUUGGACAAUGGGGGCAACCCUGAUCCAGCCAUGCCGCGUGUGUGAUGACGGCCUUAGGGUUGUAAAGCACUUUCAGCAGUGAAGAUAAUGACAUUAACUGCAGAAGAAGCCCCGGCUAACUUCGUGCCAGCAGCCGCGGUAAUACGAAGGGGGCUAGCGUUGUUCGGAAUCACUGGGCGUAAAGAGUACGUAGGCGGACUGAUAAGUUAGGGGUGAAAUCCCAAGGCUCAACCUUGGAACUGCCUUUGAUACUGUCAGUCUUGAGAUCGAGAGAGGUGAGUGGAACUCCGAGUGUAGAGGUGAAAUUCGUAGAUAUUCGGAAGAACACCAGUGGCGAAGGCGGCUCACUGGCUCGAUACUGACGCUGAGGUACGAAAGCGUGGGGAGCAAACAGGGAUUAGAUACCCUGGUAGUCCACGCCGUAA